rnacentral:rRNA from 1 species
GGGGAAUAUUGCACAAUGGGGGAAACCCUGAUGCAGCGACGCCGCGUGGGUGAUGAAGGCCUUCGGGUUGUAAAGCCCUGUCGGCUGGGAACAAGGUAGACGUGCUCAUACCACGUUUGCUUGAGUGUACCAGCAAAGGAAGCACCGGCUAACCCUGUGCCAGCAGCCGCGGUAAUACAGGGGGUGCUAGCGUUGUUCGGAAUUACUGGGCGUAAAGGGCGCGUAGGCGGUCUGAUAAGUCAGGAGUGAAAUCCCGGAGCUUAACUUCGGAAUUGCUUUUGAAACUAUUAGGCUAGAGUAUGUUAGAGGAAAUCGGAAUUCCUAGUGUAGAAGUGAAAUUCGUAGAUAUUAGGAAGAACACCGGUGGCGAAGGCGGAUUUCUGGGACAUAACUGACGCUGAGGCGCGAAAGCGUGGGGAUCAAAC